ensembl:misc_RNA
GGGGCGCCGAUCACCGCUCCGUCUACGCCCGCAAGGCCCGCCGUGGCCACGGGCUCCGGAGGCCAGCGCCC